rnacentral:rRNA from 1 species
GUCUAUGGCCAUGCCACCCUGAACAAGCCUGAUCCCGUCUGAUUUCGGACGCUAAGCAGGGUCAGGUCUGGUUAGUGCUUGGACAGGAGACCACCUAAGAAGACCAGGUGCUGGCU